rnacentral:rRNA from 1 species
CCUACGGGGGACAGCAGUAGGGAAUCUUCCACAAUGGGCGAAAGCCUGAUGGAGCAACGCCGCGUGGGUGAAGAAGGUCUUCGGAUCGUAAAACCCUGUUGUUAGAGAAGAAAGUGCGUGAGAGUAACUGUUCACGUUUCGACGGUAUCUACCCAGAAAGCCACGGCUAACUACGUGCCAGCAGCCGCGGUAAUACGUAGGUGGCAAGCGUUAUCCGGAUUUAUUGGGCGUAAAGGGAACGCAGGCGGUCUUUUAAGUCUGAUGUGAAAGCCUUCGGCUUAACCGGAGUAGUGCAUUGGAAACUGGGAGACUGGAGUGCAGAAGAGGAGAGUGGAACUCCAUGUGUAGCGGUGAAAUGCGUAGAUAUAUGGAAGAACACCAGUGGCGAAAGCGGCUCUCUGGUCUGUAACUGACGCUGAGGUUCGAAAGCGUGGGUAGCAAACAGGAUUAGAUACCCGGGUAGUC